GGUUAGUGGAGGCAGGUAGUCUAAUGGUUAGAGGAGGCAGGUAGUCUAGUGGUUAGAGGAGGAAUGUAGUCUAGUGGUUAGAGGAGGCAGGUAGUCUAGUGGUUAGAGGAGGCAGGUAGUCUAGUGGUUAGAGGAGGCAGGUAGUCUAGUGGUUAGAGGAGGCAGGUAGUCUAGUGGUUAGAGGAGGCAGGUAGUCUAGUGGUUAGAGGAGGCAGGUAGUCUAGUGGUUAGAGGAGGCAGGUAGUCUAGUGGUUAGUGGAGGCAGGUAGUCUAGUGGUUAGAGGAGGCAGGUAGUCUAGUGGUUAGUGGAGGCAGGUAGUCUAGUGGUUAGAGGAGGCAGGUAGUCUAGUGGUUAGAGGAGGCAGGUAACCUAGUGGUUAGAGGAGGCAGGUAGUCUAGUGGUUAGAGGAGGCAGGUAGUCUAGUGGUUAGAGGAGGCAGGUAGUCUAGUGGUUAGUGGAGGCAGGUAGUCUAGUGGUUAGUGGAGGCAGGUAGUCUAAUGGUUAGAGGAGGCAGGUAGUCUAGUGGUUAGAGGAGGCAGGUAGUCUAGUGGUUAGAGGAGGCAGGUAGUCUAGUGGUUAGAGGAGGCAGGUAGUCUAGUGGUUAGAGGAGGUAGGUAGUCUAGUGGUUAGAGGAGGCAGGAAGUCUAUUGGUUAAAGGAGGCAGGUCGUCUAGUGGUUAGAGGAGGCAGGUAGUCUAGUGGUUAGAGGAGGCAGGUAGUCUAGUGGUUAGAGGAGGCAGGUAGUCUAGUGGUUAGAGGAGGCAGGUAGUCUAGUGGUUAGAGGAGGCAGGUAGUCUAGUGGUUAGAGGAGGCAGGUUUUCUAGUGGUUAGAGGAGGCAGGUAGUCUAGUGGUUAGAGGAGGCAGGUAGUCUAGUGGUUAGAGGAGGCAGGUAGUCUAGUGGUUAGAGGAGGCAGGUAGUCUAGUGGUUAGAGGAG
ensembl:lncRNA